rnacentral:piRNA from 1 species
UGACUGGUGUGUCCAGGCUGCCUUAGGAAU